UACGAGGGAGGCGAGCGUUGUUCGGAAUUAUUGGGCGUAAAGGGUGCGUAGGCGGUUUGGUAAGUCUUAUGUGAAAUCUACAGGCUCAACUUGUAGUCUGCAUGAGAAACUGCCGGGCUUGAGUAUGGGAGAGGUGAGUGGAAUUCCUGGUGUAGCGGUGAAAUGCGUAGAUAUCAGGAGGAGCACCUGUGGCGAAAGCGGCUCACUGGACCAUAACUGACGCUGAUGCACGAAAGCUAGGGGAGCAAACAGG
rnacentral:rRNA from 1 species